rnacentral:rRNA from 1 species
GACGAACGCUGGCGGCGUGCUUAACACAUGCAAGUCGAACGGAAAGGCCCUGCUUUUGUGGGGUGCUCGAGUGGCGAACGGGUGCGUAACACGUGAGUAUCCUGCCCUUGACUUUGGGAUGACUUCACGAAACUGGGGCUAAUCCCAGAUAGGAGCUCCUGCUGCAUGGAGGGGGUUGGAACGUUUCGGCGGUUGGGGAUGGACUAGCGGCUUAUCAGCUUGCUGGUGGGGUAGUGGCUUACCAAGGCAGUGACGGGUAGCCGGCCUGAGAGGGGGACCGGCCACAAUGGGACUGAGAUACGGCCCAGACUCCUACGUGAGGCAGCAGUCGGGAAUAUUGCACAAUGGGCGGGAGCCGGAUGCAGCAGCGCCGCGUGCGGGAUGACGGCCUUCGGGGUGUAAACCGCUUUCGCCUGUGACGAAGCGUGAGUGACGGUAAUGGGUAAAGAAGCACCGGCUAACUACGUG